GACGAACGCUGGCGGCGUGCUUAACACAUGCAAGUCGAACGGAAAGGCCCUGCUUUUGUUGGGUGCUCGAGUGGCGAACGGGUGAGUAACACGUGAGUAACCUGCCCUUGACUUUGGGAUAACUUCAGGAAACUGGGGCUAAUACCGGAUAGGAGCUCCUGCUGCAUGGUGGUGGUUGGAAAGUUUCGGCGGUUGUGGAUGGACUCGCGGCUUAUCAGCUUGUUGGUGGGGUAGUGGCUUACCAAGGCUUUGACGGGUAGCCGGCCUGAGAGGGUGACCGGCCACAUUGGGACUGAGAUACGGCCCAGAGUCCUACGGGAGGCAGCAGUGGGGAAUAUUGCACAAUGGGCGCAAGCCUGAUGCAGCAACGCCGCGUGCGGGAUGACGGCCUUCGGGUUGUAAACCGCUUUCGCCUGUGACGAAGCGUGAGUGACGGUAAUGGGUAAAGAAGCACCGGCUAACUACGUG
rnacentral:rRNA from 1 species